rnacentral:tRNA from 1 species
GGCGCGGUGGGAGAGAGGCUAUCCAUCGGACUGCAAAUCCGCUUACACCGGUUCGAAUCCGGUCCGCGCCUCCA